GAGUUUGAUCCUGGCUCAGAUUGAACGCUGGCGGCAUGCCUUACACAUGCAAGUCGAACGGCAGCACGGGAGCUUGCUCCUGGUGGCGAGUGGCGAACGGGUGAGUAAUGCAUCGGAACGUAUCCUGGAGUGGGGGAUAACGUAGCGAAAGUUACGCUAAUACCGCAUAUUCUGUGAGCAGGAAAGCGGGGGACCUUCGGG
rnacentral:rRNA from 1 species